rnacentral:rRNA from 1 species
AGGGUGCGAGCGUUAUUCGGAUUUUCUGGGCUUAAAGCGCGCGCAGGUGUUUUCCUAAGUUGGAAGUGAAAGCCCCGGGCUCAACCUGGGAACUGCUUUCAAAACUGACGGGCUAGAGUACGGUAGAGGGGAGUGGAAUUUCAUGUGUAGCGGUGAAAUGCGUAGAUAUAGGAAGGAACAUCAGUGGCGAAGGCGACUGCCUGGACUGUUACUGACACUGAGGUGCGAAAGCGGGGGGAGCAAACAGGAUUAGAUACCCUGGUAGUCCACGCCGUAAACGAUGUCAACUAGUUGUUGGGGGUCUUGUGCCCUUAGUAACGCAGCUAACGCAUUAGGUUGACCGCCUGGGGAGUACGGCCGCAAGGUUAAAACUCAAAUGAAUUGACGGGGGCCCGCACAAGCGGUGGAGCAUGUGGUUUAAUUCGAAGCAACGCGAAGAACCUUACCUGGCCUUGACAUGUAGCGAAGAUUUCAGAGAUGAGAUUGUGCCUUCGGGAACGCUAACACAGGUGCUGCAUGGCUGUCGUCAGCUCGCGUCGUGAGAUGUUGGGUUAAGUCCCGUAACGAGCGCAACCCUUGUCCUUAGUUACCAGCACGUUAUGGUGGGCACUUUAAGGAGACUGCCGGUGACAAACCGGAGGAAGGUGGGGAUGACGUCAAGUCAUCAUGGCCCUUACGGCCAGGGCUACACACGUGCUACAAUGGUCGGUACAACGGGAUGCCAAGCCGCGAGGUGGAGCCAACCCCAUCAAAGCCGAUCAUAGUCCGGAUUGCACUCUGCAACUCGAGUGCAUGAAGUCGGAAUCGCUAGUAAUCGCGGAUCAGAAUGCCGCGGUGAAUACGUUCCCGGGCC